rnacentral:other from 1 species
ACGGUUAUAAAUCAACAUAUUGAUUUAUAAGCAUGGAAAUCCCCUGAGUGAAACAACGAAUUGCUGUGUGUAGUCUUUACCCAUCUCCCACGAUGGGCUUUUUUUUAA